rnacentral:rRNA from 1 species
GAUGAACGCUGGCGGCGUGCCUAAUACAUGCAAGUCGAGCGAACGGACGAGAAGCUUGCUUCUCUGAUGUUAGCGGCGGACGGGUGAGUAACACGUGGAUAACCUACCUAUAAGACUGGGAUAACUUCGGGAAACCGGAGCUAAUACCGGAUAAUAUUUUGAACCGCAUGGUUCAAAAGUGAAAGACGGUCUUGCUGUCACUUAUAGAUGGAUCCGCGCUGCAUUAGCUAGUUGGUAAGGUAACGGCUUACCAAGGCAACGAUGCAUAGCCGACCUGAGAGGGGGGUCGGCCACACUGGAACUGGGACACGGUCCAGACUCCUGCGGGAGGCAGCAGUAGGGAAUCUUCCGCAAUGGGCGAAAGCCUGACGGAGCAACGCCGCGUGAGUGAUGAAGGUCUUCGGAUCGUAAAACUCUGUUAUUAGGGAAGAACAUAUGUGUAAGUAACUGUGCACAUCUUGACGGUACCUAAUCAGAAAGCCACGGCUAACUACGUG